AUUGAACGCUGGCGGCAUGCCUUACACAUGCAAGUCGAACGGCAGCACGGGUGCUUGCACCUGGUGGCGAGUGGCGAACGGGUGAGUAAUACAUCGGAACAUGUCCUGUAGUGGGGGAUAGCCCGGCGAAAGCCGGAUUAAUACCGCAUACGAUCUACGGAUGAAAGCGGGGGACCUUCGGGCCUCGCGCUAUAGGGUUGGCCGAUGGCUGAUUAGCUAGUUGGUGGGGUAAAGGCCUACCAAGGCGACGAUCAGUAGCUGGUCUGAGAGGACGACCAGCCACACUGGGACUGAGACACGGCCCAGACUCCUACGGGAGGCAGCAGUGGGGAAUUUUGGACAAAGGGCGAAAGCCUGAUCCAGCAAUGCCGCGUGUGUGAAGAAGGCCUUCGGGUUGUAAAGCACUUUUGUCCGGAAAGAAAUCCUUGGCCCUAAUACGGUCGGGGGAUGACGGUACCGGAAGAAUAAGCACCAGCUAACUACGUG
rnacentral:rRNA from 1 species